GAGUAAUUCUUGCCACCGGAUUUAUUCAUAUCCUUCCGGAAUCUUUCGAAAGAUUGGGUUCUGAAUGUUUGCCUGAUGAUCCGUGGCACAAGUUUCCGUUCGCUGGGUUUGUAGCCAUGUUGGCUGCAAUUGGAACCUUGUUCAUCGAUUGCUUCGCAACUGGCUACUUCAUUAGAUUCCACCUGCAUCAUGAUCAAAAUAAUGGACCAGACACUGAACAACAAGGUUUAGAUCAAACAAGUGGUUUUGAUCUUCUCAUAAUCAGACAUCGCGUGGUUUCACAGGUUUAUAUAAUCGAUUGAUUUGAUCUUAUAUUGACGUGAUUUUAAUUAUUCGAUCGAAUAUUAAUUUAGACUGAUGAAACUGAACAAGAUCAAUGGGUCAUUGUCGCUAGGUUUUGGAAUUGGGAAUUGUGGUCCACUCCGUGAUCAUCGGAAUCUCUUUAGGAACAUUUAACACUCCAUCCACUAUUCAACCACUUCUUAUUGUUCUGUGUUUCCAUCAAUUCUUCGAAGGAAUGGGGAUGGGAGGAUGCAUAGUUAUGGUAAUUAAAUAAACCUUUUUUUUACAAGGUAAUGAUACAUAAGCAAAUAAAAAUUAAUUGAUGUAUAUACACUGAGAUUUAAACCCUGAAUCUUUAUCAGUCCAAUCAUUUUAUAUACUAUCUAUAAUUACCUUGAUCUUAGAUUAUACAACUGGAUUAACUGAUAAGUUGGUCGCAAUCACUCUUAAGGUGGCUGAAUGUUUAUGAUUCGAAUUUUAAUAUAUGUACUUUAAUCUUGUGGUAAUUUAAAAUGAAAUCCAGAUUUGAUUAUAAUCUUGAAGUAUUAGAUUUGAAUAAAAUAACUUGUCAAAUAAAUUUUGAAUUUAUUUACUAUUGUAAUUACCAUAAAUCAACGAUUAUUAAUUCAUCAAGUGUCACAAAAAAGUACUUAUAGUAUACACACGUACUUUAAUUUAUAUAGAACAAUAUUCAGAUGAGUCUCUCUUAGGUAAGUUCAAAAACGUUUAUAAAAUCUUGAUUGUUCAUCUAUUUCAUCUGAAUUUUUUUCUUCUAUCCACCUUACACUAAUCCCGAGGUAAGGUCAAGAUUUCACAAGCGUUUUUGGGUUUAUUGGAGAUGAACUUCAAAUCGCAUAUAAUUUAUUGACUUUUUUUUAUCAUAAUAUUCUAAUACAACUUAUGUCGACAUUAUUGAUCAAGAUUUAAUAAAUCAAUAAAUGUGGCAUAUAAAUCCAACGAGUGUACCUAAAUAAAUAGUCUUCAAACUUAGUUCAAUUAUUGUACCAACGAAAAUAAAAAUGAAGAGCUUCAGAGUUGCGUUUUUUGUUCUUCUACUUUCAUUUCAAUUACAACUUUUCUCAACAUUUGGAAAAUCCGACGACGACUGUGCCAGUGAUGACUUUGUGGAAGAUAGCUCGACUGCUCGGAAACUGAAGAUCGUGGCGAUCUUCACCAUCUUCUUUUCAGGCUCUAUAGGAAUCCUUGCACCCAUAAUUGGGAACACCUUGGCAUUUCUAAAGCCAGAGUCAAACUUUUUCUUCUUGGUCAAAGCGUUUGCGGCCGGAGUAAUUCUUGCCACCGGAUUCAUCCAUAUCCUUCCGGAAUCUUUCGAAAGAUUGGGUUCUGAAUGUUUGCCUGAUGAUCCGUGGCACAAGUUUCCGUUCGCUGGGUUUGUAGCCAUGUUGGCUGCAAUUGGAACCUUGUUCAUCGAUUGCUUCGCAACUGGCUACUUCAAUAGAUUCCAUCAGAAGAAUGGACCAGACACUGAACAACAAGGUUUAGAUCAAACAAGUGGUUUUGAUCCUCUCAUAAUCAGACACCGCGUGGUUUCACAGGUUUAUAUAAUCGAUUGAUUUGAUCUUAUAUUGACGUGAUUUUAAUUAUUCGAUCGAAUAUUAAUUUAGACUGAUGAAACUGAACAAGAUCAAUGGGUCAUUGUCGCUAG
rnacentral:lncRNA from 1 species